rnacentral:rRNA from 1 species
GACGAACGCUGGCGGCGUGCCUAAUACAUGCAAGUCGAGCGGAUCUUCAUUAGCUUGCUUUUGAAGAUCAGCGGCGGACGGGUGAGUAACACGUGGGCAACCUGCCUGUAAGACUGGGAUAACUUCGGGAAACCGGAGCUAAUACCGGAUAAUCCUUUUCCUCUCAUGAGGAAAAGCUGAAAGACGGUUUCGGCUGUCACUUACAGAUGGGCCCGCGGCGCAUUAGCUAGUUGGUGAGGUAACGGCUCACCAAGGCGACGAUGCGUAGCCGACCUGAGAGGGUGAUCGGCCACACUGGGACUGAGACACGGCCCAAACUCCUACGGGAGGCAGCAGUAGGGAAACUUCCGCAAUGGACGAAAGUCUGACGGAGCAACGCCGCGUGAGCGAUGAAGGCCUUCGGGUCGUAAAGCUCUGUUGUCAGGGAAGAACAAGUACCGGAGUAACUGCCGGUACCUUGACGGUACCUGACCAGAAAGCCACGGCUAACUACGUGCCAGCCGCCGCUGUAA